rnacentral:rRNA from 1 species
UACAGAGGUGGCAAGCGUUGUUCGGAAUUACUGGGCGUAAAGGGUGCGUAGGCGGUCGGGUAAGUCUGAUGUGAAAUCUCCAAGCUCAACUUGGAAAUGGCAUCGGAUACUAUUCGGCUAGAGGAAUGGAGGGGAGACUGGAAUACUUGGUGUAGCAGUGAAAUGCGUAGAUAUCAAGUGGAACACCAGUGGCGAAGGCGAGUCUCUGGACAUUUCCUGACGCUGAGGCACGAAAGCCAGGGGAGCAAACGGG